UUCGUAGGCGGUCUAUUAAGUCCGAUCUGAAAGCCCACGGCUUAACCGUGGAGGGUGAUUGGAAACUGGUAGACUUGAGUACAUGAGAGGAAAGUGGAAUUCCAUGUGUAGCGGUGAAAUGCGUAGAUAUAUGGAGGAACACCAGUGGCGAAGGCGGCUUUCUGGCAUGUAACUGACGCUGAUGAACGAAAGCAUGGGGAGCAAACA
rnacentral:rRNA from 1 species